CAGAAGAAGAAGAACCGGAAGCAGGCACACGCGGCGCACCCGGUAGAGAGCCGACCCAGAGAAUACCACCACAGAGUUGCGAACCAGAAGCGCAGGACAGGCAGGGCACAGAACAGAACGAUUACCGGUCAGUUACACUCACAUGAGGCGGUAAAAGAGGGGUAUGCGCCCGAGGAAAAACAUGGCGGCCAACCUUGUACGAAAGACUGCUUAAAGCGGAGGAGAAAA
rnacentral:lncRNA from 1 species